CACCGCCCGUCGCUACUACCGAUUGAAUGAUUUAGUGAGGUCUUCGGACUGGUGCGCGGCAAUGUCUCGGCAUUGCCGAUGUUGCCGGGAAGAUGACCAAACUUGAUCAUUUAGAGGAAGUAAAAGUCGUAACAAGGUUUCCGUAGGUGAACCUGCGGAAGGAUCAUUA
rnacentral:rRNA from 2 species